CUGCCAAGUACAUGAUCUUCUUGGAGCGGCUAAUUCGCAAAUGAGACAAUCGUUCCGUGAAGAAACUGUUACCGUACUACGAACAAUUUUUCUUUAUCUUUUUCAAUACUCGAGCGAGUGCGAAUGCGAGUGCGCGUGAGAAUAUUGAGAUAAAAAGGGUAGUUCGCGACAUAGAGUUUGAACCAGUAUUACUCCAACUCAACCAUCCACCCUCUCCACUUCAAUUCUACGUAAACUGCUCUAUUUUAAUCGGGUUUCUCCAGUGAGUCCCCUUUUAGAUUUACUUUGUUUUUUUGUAUAAUUUUAGAAGAAUUUUGCUCGUGGAUUUUGGGUUUGUGUAUUUGUUUGCAUGUGUUGGUUUUGAGAAAAGAUUUUUCAGUUGUUUUUGUUUGUGGGUUUAGAGAUGGCGGAAAAAGAUGAAGCUAUGGAGGCUCUGAAAAGGGAGGCUGUGGAUUUGGUAAAGAGCUUCGUAA
rnacentral:lncRNA from 1 species